rnacentral:rRNA from 1 species
AGUGAACGCUGGCGGUAGGCCUAACACAUGCAAGUCGAACGGCAGCACAGUAAGAGCUUGCUCUUACGGGUGGCGAGUGGCGGACGGGUGAGGAAUACAUCGGAACCUACUUUUUCGUGGGGGAUCACGUAGGGAAACUUACGCUAAUACCGCAUACGACCUACGGGUGAAAGCAGGGGAUCUUCGGACCUUGCGCGAUUGAAUGAGCCGAUGUCGGAUUAGCUAGUUGGCGGGGUAAAGGCCCACCAAGGCGACGAUCCGUAGCUGGUCUGAGAGGAUGAUCAGCCACACUGGAACUGAGACACGGUCCAGACUCCUACGGGAGGCAGCAGUGGGGAAUAUUGGACAAUGGGCGCUAGCCUGAUCCAGCCAUACCGCGUGGGUGAAGAAGGCCUUCGGGUUGUAAAGCCCUUUUGUUGGGAAAGAAAAGCAGCAGGUUAAUACCCCGCUGUUCUGACGGUACCCAAAGAAUAAGCACCGGCUAACUUCGUG